UCGAUGACAGGCGUUAACAAUGUUGUUCGACGACAGGCGUGAACAAUGUGCAAGUUGAUAUUGACGACAGGCGUGAACAAUGUUGUGCGGCCCACUAUGAACAGUAUUGUCAACAUGUUGUUGCAGCAUUGUUCAAUUGUAACAACUUGGAACAACAUGGUUGACAACUUGUUCAUAGUUGGCCGCACAACAGUGUUCACGCCUGUCAACUUGUAACAACCUGUGCGUUUUUAGCCGUGUAUGUAUUCCUCAGUAAACUAUUCAGUAAAAUUACGUCAAGGAACAACUCCCUUCUUCAACUCUGAUGUUGGUGUUAAAUAAGGCUGUAAUCUUCUUCCUACUGUUUUCAACAUGUUUGUAAAUGAUAUACCUGAUUUUUUUUAAAAUUAACCAGGCAUGUGAUCCAGUAAAACUUGGUAAUACAGAUUUGAACAGUUUACUUUAUGCGGACGAUUUAGUCCUGUUGUCCAAAUCGCAAAUAGGUUUACAAGAAUGUCUAUCAAAACUUGAAAUAUAUACAAAGAAAUGGAAGCUCAAAAUUAAUAGGAGAAAAUGCAAAGUUUUACUUUUUGGAACGCCGACCAAAGGCGUGCAUAUUUAACGUCAGCUUGGUUAUACGAAGAAAAUCCCCUAUAGAACAGGUGGAGCUAGUAUUGUUACCUUGGAAUUACUCCUCACUUUUCCGGAAAUUUCAAACGGGUGAUACUGCUGAUCAGGUGAUACUGCUGAUACGAGCUUACAAUUUUUUAUACAAAAAAUUUUCAAAUUUUGAAAAU